CUCUAAAAUAAAGAUUAGAUUUAGAGAAUACUAGGUACAUCUCUAUGUUUCGAGGGUGAAAGUACACAUCUAUAUUCUCUCCACCAACUACUUCUGCCUUUUUCUUUCCAAAUAUCCCCCCCCCCUUCAUUUUUCCCACACCUUUCCCUCACAUAGCAGAUAUGAGCUUGAAGGCAUAACAAAUUGUUUCAACGUUCACCCAUGGCUUGAAGACAAACUUAAAAUCAGCCACAAGCAAAGACUUUGAGGUGUAGAUUGAAAAGAAUAUAUUUGUACGCAAAAGAUAACUGCUGCACUUAGAAUGAUGGCGUAUGGGGUUACCAGAGAUUUUAUGGAUGAAUACGUACGCAUUGGUGAAAGCACCGCAAUGGAAAGCCUCAAAAAAUUUGUGAGGCGAUAGAAUGCUCAGAAGUAUUGAUUGCAUGCAUUGGAAGUGGAAAAAUUGUCCAUCAGCCUGGAAAGGUAUGUACUCUGGCCACAUUCGUGAACCUACUAUUAUUUUAGAGGCGGUUGCUUCAUAUGACCUUUGGAUAUGGCAUGCAUUUUUCGGUAUGCCCGGUUCACAAAACGACAUUAAUGUGCUAGAGAGGUCUUUUAUUUUCACGGAACUUGCCAAGGGCGUGCCCCUCCAGUGAAUUACAUAAUCAACGAUCACGACUAUAUUAUAGGGUAUUACCUUGCGGAUGGUAUUUAUCCUAAGUGGCAAACUUUUAUGAAGAUGAUUCCGUCACCAAGACGAAAUAAGAAUAAAUAUUUUGCAAAAGCACAAGAAUCUGCAAGAAAAGAUGUCGAGCGAGAAUUUGGGGUACUUCAACAACGAUUUGCAAUCAUUCGAGGACCUUCUCAAAUGUUCAAAGUGAAGGCACUAACAAAUAUAAUGAAAGCAUGUGUUAUUCUACAUAAUAUGAUCAUUGAAGAUGAGCGGGAUGAUGGUGAUAGUCCUAACAUUGGGUAUGAUCAACUUGAUGAUGAUCUCCCCGAAUUGUCACACAAUCAUACAACUAAGCUUAUGCACUUCAUCCAACGUCAUCUUCAUAUUGGAGAUAGCUCGGCACAUUAUCAGCUUCAAGAAGAUCUAACUGAACAUCAAUGGCAACUCUAUUCCCUACAGUAAAUGAAGGUCCAAGUUAGUCUUUACAGGUUUUGAAGAUUCGCUAUGCUUCUCCAUCAUCAUAUUUUGCUAUUUGAAAGUCCACGACUUCAACUCCACAAUUGCUUUUUAGAUCUUCCAUUUUAUUGGUUUAAGUUGUAAUGCACUUAUAUAUUUUUGGUCCUGUAUACCAUUAUAACCUUCGGAAAUGGCAAGAAAUGCUAUCCACUUAUGGUUUUGUAGUUUCUUUAAUA